rnacentral:rRNA from 1 species
AUUGAACGCUGGCGGCAGGCCUAACACAUGCAAGUCGAACGAGUGGCGGACGGGUGAGUAAUGUCUGGGAAACUGCCCGAUGGAGGGGGAUGACUACUGGAAAAGGUAGCUAAUAACGCAUACCAUCGGAAGGGCCCAGAGGGGAUGAGCUAGUAGGUGGGGUAACGGCUAAACUAGGCGACGAUCCCUAGCUGGUCUGAGAGGAUGACCAGCCACACGUGAACUGAGACACGGUCCAGACUCCUACGGGAGGCAGCAGUGGGGAAUAUUGCACAAGGGGCGCAAUCCUGAUGCAGCCAUGCGGCGUGUAUGAAGAGGGCCUUCGGGUUGUAAAGUACUUUCAGCGAGGAGGCGUUACUCGCAGAAGAAGCACCGGCUAACUCCGUGCCAGCAGCCGCGGUAAUUC